rnacentral:lncRNA from 1 species
GUAUUUCCAUGUGAAUUCUAGGAAAAGAAGAAAACUUUAGUAAUAACUAUCAUUUAUAAAAUUUGGAAAGUGCUUUCUUUUUUUAAAAAAAUCCUUUCCCUCCAUCUUAAAUUCAAUUCUGUAUACUGGUUCUAAGGCAGAAGAGUGGUAACGACUAGGCAAUGGAGGUCAAGUGACUUGUGCAAGGUCAAUGAAGAGUCUGAGACCAGAUUUGAACCCAGGACCUCCAGUCUCUGGACCUGGUUCUUAAUCCACUGAGUCACCCAGCUGUCCUCGGUCCUUUCUCCCCUCUCCACACCUUAGAAGGAUCAUCCAUCAAAUAGAUAUCUACUUAAGAUGAACAAGGAGAAAAACCAGAAUUGAAUACCAAGAAGGGAAUAUGCUGAAUUGCCUUCAAAAUAUUGUCCAGUACUUUCUCCAGACCAUGCCUACUCCUUAUCACAAAGGAAAAAAUUUUCACUGAAUGAGUUUUCCUGGUAAUGAUGAAUAUCUGCCAAUCUUGGAGUAUCAUCCUGACAAUGGAAAGAGAGUUCCUGAUGACCAAAAGGCACUCAAGACAUGCUAAAGCUGAUGUCAAGGAGGAUGAAGAAGGAGACCAUGGUGGAGGAGAGAAGAAGGGAUUUAUAAAAACUAGGAGCUACUUUCCAGAGCCCCAGGUACUCUAGGUUAUAGCCGGGAGCACAUUUUUAUGACUGUGGUACAACUUUCCA